GGAGAGUUAGUAUUAAAAUAACUUUUCGCCCAAAAGAAGACGAAUCGAGAAGAAGAGAGGAAGAAGAGAGAGGAGAGGAAAGAAAGAAAAAAAGAGAAGAAAGAAAAGAGAGGGAAGAGAGAAAGAAAAGAGAGGGAAGAGAGAAAAGAAAGGAAGGAAAGAAAUGGAGAGAAAGAGAGAGAGAGAGAGCGAGCGAUGAAAGUGGCUGCCGGCGGGCAAAUUUCGGUGAUUGGAAGGAGUAGAGGAAGAUUAGGCUUAUGGGAGGGAGGUAAGCAGGGGGCACAAUUAGAGGAUUUAUACUCCUUCGGAUCAAGGUUUUUGGCUUGAAAAAGAAAACAAAACGACCAAAUUGUAGCUGUUGACCGAUCGUGACCGCAUUCAAGCAUUUAGCCAAUUUUUGGAUGAAGGUUUUGAUGUGAAACUGCUCGUGACGACUGAAAAUCUUUGAAAUUACGGAUUCUUUCCUUCUGAGGCAUAUCUAGCUAGUUUAGCUUCAACCAUGCAGCCGAAGAAACCAAAUUGACUUGUGGGAAUCACCUUCCCCAGGUUGAAUCCAGGCUCCCAAGCUAGAGCGACUUUGGACAGUCUCCUUAUAACGGGGACCCAAACUGGUGCCAAAAGGCAACCAACUGUGGAGCGACGUGAAGAAGCUCCCCAGCCUGUUGUUGCAUAUCCAAUGAAAAAGAAGAUGAUGGGUACGAAGAGGAGGAGGAUAAUAACAGUAGAAGCGUCUGAGUCUAAGUAAGACGACUUUAGGAUAUUGCUAGGCAGGCUACAACCUACCUAACUCCUUGCUUUGAAAGCCCCUCCAAAAGAUGUGUUAAAGGCAUCUUAAAGGAAAGAAGGCGAGGCCACUCAAAGAGAACCUGGCCAAGAACAGAGAGAGGAGAUUCCUGACAUGAGAGGUCGGGACAAGUCUUUCUUAGGCCUUCUUAGGCAACUUCCAGAUCAUCUAAUGUUGGUGAUCUUCACACUUCUUGAGUGCCAACUAGAGUCGAUCUUUGAAAGGUACAUUGUCUUCUGACCUUCCGACCUUUUGGUCAUUGCGCUCCAACUGUAAAGCCAGUCUAUGCUUGCCCUGAACAUUUCACGCAUAACAAAAUGAAGAUCAACUCCGGAGGAAAACUCCAUGAAAUGAAGGAGGAGAUCAUCAAAUCGAGGCAAGCCCUGGCGGAUUCUAAUGAAGCAACAAGUGAUGCACAACUUCAAGCGAGCACACUUCUGGCAGAAAAGGACUCUACUUGCAAGCAGUAGAGUUCUAGAAGCAAGAGCUUUUGAAAAAGGACGAUCAAGUCAAAGAGCUUUAGAUGAAAAUGGCGAAGCUUACUAGAGAUCUGGGCUCAUGAGAGCAUGAGCUUAAAGAAAGAGAAAGUCAACUCCAAGAGAGCUUGAAUCGAGAAAAAGAGAUGGAGGAUUUUUGAACUGCUUUGUGGACGAACAAAGAGAAGAAAGUGAGAGCAAAAGAGUUAGAGCUCGAGGUGUCCCAUGGGCAAGUCACUUCACUAAUCGACCAAAUGCGGCAGCUUAGCAAUGAGGUGGAAAGGAAAGCUAGUUAUUGGUCGCUGCAAGUUAUUUAUACCUUGCGAGCGAACAAUGCAAACAUGGAUCUUUCCAGCCUUCUUGAAGAAUAUCAGGUAGUGCUUGCAUCGACGCAGUCGGUUGAAGAACAAGAAGACCAAGAGAUUGCCCAGAAAGAGGAUUAGCAAGAAAAAAAAGAAUCCCAAAGACCAAGCUAUUGAUCCUAAGAUCGUAGAAGCGAAAGUUAGGGGUUCUGAAGUUCAAGAGAAGUGAUCGACCUCUGCUCUGCCUACUAUUGAAGUAUCUCUUUUGUCUCUUUUUCCUUUCGAUAUAGCUUGCUGAUCAUCUAUGUACACAUUAUUUUAA